rnacentral:lncRNA from 1 species
GAGCGGGGGUCAACUGUCCUCCCUGUACCAAAAGAGGCCAACGUCAUGACAGUAGCGUUCCACAUAAUUUUUAGAAAGUGAAACUUUAGAAAAUACAAAACAAAAUAAAGAAUAAACAAACCGCGACCAACAAUACUAUACAUAAACAAUAUCCCAUAACCCCCAAGUGAAAAACAAGCUACUUAAGUAUUAUCCCAAAUUAGAGACAACGAUUACCAGCUGCCUCUAAUUGGGAAUCAUACCAAUCACCCAAACUUAGAAAAACUAAAUUAGAACCCCACAUAGAAUAUAACAACUAGAAAAAAAACCUGUCACGCCCUGACCUACUCUACCAUAGAAAAUAAAAUCUUUCUAUGGUCAGGACGUGACACAGAGUCAGAGUGCUGGUAAGUCUCAUGUCUACUGAUUUGAGCUAAAAUAUGGUGUAGAUUUUAGUUUCUCAGAAAACUACAGGAAGUGAUGCAACACUUGAGGUUUUGGUCUCCUCCUUUAUCACACAUUUAUUUUCUGUCUGUCUGUCUGCCUUCUAGCCUGUCUGUUUGUCUUCCUGCCUUACUGAGAAACCAACUGAUCGAAUGAACGUUGUAAUUAAUGCUAUAAUUCAUGUUAUCUAUAAUAUAUACAGUACUCUGUAAAGUAUCUCCUCCUGUCUGUGGUCAGGUCUGAUGGUAUCUAUGAUAUAUACAGUACUCUGUAAAGUCUCUCCUCCUGUCUGUGGUCAGGUCUGAUGGUAUCUAUGAUAUAAACAGUACUCUGUAAAGGCUCUCCUCCUGUCUGUGGUCAGGUCUGAUGGUAUCUAUGAUAUAUACAGUACUCUGUAAAGUCUCUCCUCCUGUCUGUGGUCAGGUCUGAUGGUAUCUAUGAUAUAUACAGUACUCUGUAAAGUCUCUCCUCCUGUCUGUGAUC